CUUCGCUACUGGAGUCUACUAAGUAGAGCCAUGUGCGUAUGCAUAUUGCUUCAACAAGCAUGUCCAUGAGGACACUGUCCUUACAACUCGCAAACAGAUUGAAUCCAAAAAUCCUCUUGCCUUUGCUUCCAAAGUGAUUAGGAGCUCGAAUUAUCUAUCUGAAGCCAGGGUUAGCCAGUGAAUUCUAAACUCAUGUUCUACUCACUUGGUGCUUAAGCGUAUUUAAAUAUUCUCUUUAUUUAUUCAUUGCAGGAUAAGUCCAGCAAAACUUCUACUUCAACUCAACAUAAGAGGGGAUACAAUUGUGAAAAAUCUAGUUGCCUGAAGAAAUAUUGUGAAUGUUAUCAAGUUUCUUUUCAUCUUUUCUACGUAUGAGAGCUUUUCAUUAGCUUAUAAGAUAAAAGAUUAUCUUUCUAUUGAAGAGUGGUGUUGGAUGCUUGAUGAGUGUGGUUUUACGAGUAUCGGUAUUAUGAUUUACAAUUUAUUUUCCUUUUUGGGUUGGGCUUUUUUUUAACAGGCACGGGAGCUAAAGUUCUAAAAUAAGAAUCCGAUGUUGGUAUGCUUUGUUAUAUCUCUCCGCUUCCUGGCUUCUGUUAAAUUGUCAACCGAAGAUAUCUCUUCAGUCUCUCCCUCAUUAUUUGCACACAUUGAAUAUAUUUGCAUUACUUAUUAACCUCAAGAUGAUUUUUGGGAAUUUAUUUCAAUUAAUUGUCUUUGAUGUUCGAAUUGUGAACAUGAAUGCA
rnacentral:lncRNA from 1 species